GACGAACCGUGCGAACGUUGUUCGGAAUCACUGGGCUUAAAGGGCGCGUAGGCGGGCGGUCAAGUCAGAGGUGAAAUCCCACGGCUCAACCGUGGAAGCGCCCCUGAUACUGAUCGUCUCGAGGGAGGUAGGGGCGUGCGGAACUUCCGGUGGAGCGGUGAAAUGCGUAGAUAUCGGAAGGAACACCGGUGGCGAAAGCGGCGCGCUGGACCUCUACUGACGCUGAGGCGCGAAAGCCAGGGGAGCAAACGGG
rnacentral:rRNA from 1 species